UCAGGAUGGUUUGAAGCUGAAGCGGCAGCUGCGGGAGUGUGUGCAUCUUCUGUGUCGUUGCCCAGCGGGUCCGAUGUCAAUAAUAACAAUAGUAGUAGUAAUAGUAAUAACAGUAACAACAACAAUAAUACAACCAUCAUCUUCAUGUCACUCUCACAUCCAAAUAGACUGUCGAGGUAGAAAUACCAGACAAGGUAGGAAGCUGAAGCGCGGGUUUCAGACACACAGUGCCGGGCUGUAGAGACUUGGCAAGGUUUUUGACACUCUGUGGUCAGGGCUGCCAGAUGAAAUACAGCAGCAUCACAGGAAUGUAAGAUGAAUUUUGUGUCAUUUGCUCCAUGCAAUAUCUCAGUCAAGUCUGGACACAGGCAAGAUUUUAAUGAGUGUUUUCCCGCUGACUGGGGUGUGUACAGAGCAGCACCGGAAGGGGCCUAGCUGCAGAUUCCCGCUCUACACUGCCUACUUAGCUAUCAAAGGUAAAGGCUGUGCUUCCCAUGUUGAGGUCUGCGAGACUGAAGCAGACUCGAUCAUCUCUGCAAGUUGGCUCACACCACAUGGCUGUCAGUAAAAAUGGCUGUGCAAUGUUUACUACCAGAGGAGUUGCAAAUACCAGGAAGAAUGUGAACAUUUUUUUUCUUUCUACAUCAGACAGCUUGCCAAAUGGGAUUCCAACAUAUUUUUCAGUUCUUCUAAAAUGUCUGGAUUAUUGCACAAGCAUUCCAGUCUCCCAACCAUGAUGGUGCCCAAGGCCCUGUGUGCCUGGCCUAUUCUUAGAGCAUACUAGACAGAGUUGGCUGAGAAGCAAGGCAACUCUCCAGGCAGCCAGCAGUGGACAGUGCCAAGUCACAAGAUUGUAUUUUCUCAAGAUGCCAAAAGACAUAGAAGAUAGCAAAGAGGGAAAAAAGAAGAAAAACAUCAACAAAAUCAUCUGUCAUUUUUUUCCUUCCCUCCCUAAUGUACAUUAAAACUUUAUUUGCAAAGCAGAAACAAAAUUGUUUUCUCCAAGGAUGAGCCUCCUAACUGGUUAUUUGAGUUACUUGAUAUAAAGUAGUCAGCUGUGAAAUCAUAUACAUGUGAGAAACCCUAAACAGACUAAUGAGGUUGUAUUUAUAUAUUUGUGCAUUUAUAUGUGUAUAUGUAACAAUAAUAAUGAAAGAGAAAGAGGAAAUAAAUUUGAGAAGA